rnacentral:rRNA from 1 species
ACGGCCACACCACAUUGAAAACAUCUGUUUUCGUCCGAUCACCAAAGUUAAGCAAUGUCGGGCCCGGUCAGUACUUGGGAGGGUGACCAUCUGGGAACACCGGGUGCUGUAGACU